rnacentral:rRNA from 1 species
CAAGUAGAACGCUGAAGGAGGAGCUUGCUUCUCCGGAUGAGUUGCGAACGGGUGAGUAACGCGUAGGUAACCUGCCUGGUAGCGGGGGAUAACUAUUGGAAACGAUAGCUAAUACCGCAUAACAGUAGAUAUUGCAUGAUAUCUGCUUGAAAGGUGCAAUUGCAUCACUACCAGAUGGACCUGCGUUGUAUUAGCUAGUUGGUGAGGUAACGGCUCACCAAGGCGACGAUACAUAGCAGACCUGAGAGGGUGAUCGGCCACACUGGGACUGAGACACGGCCCAGACUCCUACGGGAGGCAGCAGUAGGGAAUCUUCGGCAAUGGACGGAAGUCUGACCGAGCAACGCCGCGUGAGUGAAGAAGGUUUUCGGAUCGUAAAGCUCUGUUGUAAGAGAAGAACGAGUGUGAGAGUGGAAAGUUCACACUGUGACGGUAUCUUACCAGAAAGGGACGGCUAACUACGUGCCAGCAGCCGCGGUAAUACGUAGGUCCCGAGCGUUGUCCGGAUUUAUUGGGCGUAAAGCGAGCGCAGGCGGUUAGAUAAGUCUGAAGUUAAAGGCUGUGGCUUAACCAUAGUACGCUUUGGAAACUGUUUAACUUGAGUGCAAGAGGGGAGAGUGGAAUUCCAUGUGUAGCGGUGAAAUGCGUAGAUAUAUGGAGGAACACCGGUGGCGAAAGCGGCUCUCUGGCUUGUAACUGACGCUGAGGCUCGAAAGCGUGGGGAGCAAACAGGAUUAGGUACCCUGGUAGUCCACGCCGUAAACGAUGAGUGCUAGGUGUUAGACCCUUUC